UCGAGCGGAAGGCCCUUCGGUGGUACUCGAGCGGCGAACGGGUGAGUAACACGCGAUUAAUCUGCCCCUGGCUUUGGGAUAGCCACCGGAAACGGUGAUUAAUACCGGAUACGACAACUUCUUGCAUGAGAUGGUUGUGGAAAGUUUUUCGGCCAGGGAUGUGCUCGCGGCCUAUCAGCUUGAUGGUGAGGUAAUGGCUCACCAUGGCUUCGACGGGUAGCCGGCCUGAGAGGGUGACCGGCCACACUGGGACUGAGACACGGCCCAGACUCCUACGGGAGGCAGCAGUGGGGAAUAUUGGACAAUGGGCGGAAGCCUGAUCCAGCAACGCCGCGUGAGGGAUGACGGCCUUCGGGUUGUAAACCUCUUUCAGCAGGGACGAAGCGCAAGUGACGGUACCUGCAGAAGAAGCACCGGCCAACUACGUGCCAGCAGCCGCGGUAAUACGUAGGGUGCGAGCGUUGUCCGGAAUUAUUGGGCGUAAAGGGCUCGUAGGCGGU
rnacentral:rRNA from 1 species